GACGAACGCUGGCGGCGUGCUUAACACAUGCAAGUCGAACGGAAAGGCCCUGCUUUUGUGGGGUGCUCGAGUGGCGAACGGGUGAGUAACACGUGAGUAACCUGCCCUUGACUUUGGGAUAACUUCAGGAAACUGGGGCUAAUACCGGAUAGGAGCUCCUGCUGCAUGGUGGGGGUUGGAAAGUUUCGGCGGUUGGGGAUGGACUCGCGGCUUAUCAGCUUGUUGGUGGGGUAGUGGCUUACCAAGGCUUUGACGGGUAGCCGGCCUGAGAGGGUGACCGGCCACAAUGGGACUGAGAUACGGACCAGACGCCUACGUGAGGCAGCAGUGGGGAAUAUUGCGCAGUGGGCGGAAGCCUGAUGCAGCAACGCCGCGUGCGGGAUGACGGCCUUCGAGUUGUGAACCGCUUUGGACGGUGACGAAGCGUGAGUGACGGUAAUGGGUAAAGAAGCACCGGCUAACUACGUG
rnacentral:rRNA from 1 species